UCCGUAGGUGGACAAAUAAGUCAGAGGUGAAAUCCUGCAGCUCAACUGUAGAACUGCCUUUGAUACUGUUUGUCUUGAGUUAUUAUGAAGUGGUUAGAAUGUGUAGUGUAGCGGUGAAAUGCAUAGAUAUUACACAGAAUACCGAUUGCGAAGGCAGAUCACUAAUAAUCAACUGACACUGAUGGACGAAAGCGUGGGUAGCGAACAGGAUUAGAUACCCUGGUAGUCCACGCCGUGACGAUGGUCACUAGCUGUUUGGACUUCGGUCUGAGUGGCUAAGCGAAAGUGAUAAGUGACCCACCUGGGAGUACGUUCGCAAGAAUGAGACUCAGAGGAAUUGACGGGCGCCCGCACAAGCGGUGGAGCAUGUGGUUUAAUUCGAUGA
rnacentral:rRNA from 1 species